rnacentral:rRNA from 1 species
UACAGAGGUCUCAAGCGUUGUUCGGAUUCAUUGGGCGUAAAGGGUGUGUAGGUGGCGCCGUAAGUCGGGUGUGAAAUUUCGGAGCUUAACUCCGAAACUGCAUUCGAUACUGCCGUGCUUGAGGACUGGAGAGGAGACUGGAAUUUACGGUGUAGCGGUGAAAUGCGUAGAUAUCGAUAAGGAAGACCAGUGGCGAAGGCGGGUCUCUGGACAGUUCCUGACGCUGAGGCACGAAGGUCAGGGGAGCAAACGGG